GCCGCUCGCCUCAUAUCGUCGUGCAUACUCGCCCAUACCGUCAUGAUAUUGCCCUAUACUAAUCGUGCAUCCUCGCCAAACCUAUUCCUAUCUCUUCUCGAUUUCCAUCAUAUAUCCCCCACCUAUUCUCUUUUUCUAGCCUCAGUUUGGAUUUUUCUUUCUCUUUUCCUCUCACCCUCUCUAUCGCCUUCCACUCAGAGCCCUUCGACUGCUCCCUCCGU
rnacentral:lncRNA from 1 species